UACGGAGGGAGCUAGCGUUGUUCGGAAUUACUGGGCGUAAAGCGCACGUAGGCGGCUUUGUAAGUUAGAGGUGAAAGCCCAGGGCUCAACCCUGGAAUUGCCUUUAAGACUGCAUCGCUUGAACAUCGGAGAGGUAAGUGGAAUUCCGAGUGUAGAGGUGAAAUUCGUAGAUAUUCGCAAGAACACCAGUGGCGAAGGCGGCUUACUGGUCCGGUUCUGACGCUGAGGCGCGAAAGCGUGGGGAGCAAACAGG
rnacentral:rRNA from 1 species